AAGGAAGAAUUGGUUUAUUAUGAAAGAACCAUGCUGGGGAAAAAAAAAAGAGAGAUUCACCCAAUCUUUGGUCUUUGUAUGCUCACUGGAGAAUGACAGUUUGUUCUUUAUUUAGUAUUUAGCAGAACAGGGUUAUAGAUCGGGGGUCCCUGAUCUGCAGCCUGUUAGGAAGUGGGCUGCAGCUGGUGAGUGAGCAAAGCUUCAUUUGUAUUUACAACCACUCUCCAUUGCUUGCAUUACUGCCUAAGCACAGCCUCCUGUCAGAUCAGCGGUGACAUUAGAUUCUCAUAAGGGUAUGAACCCAGUUGUGAACUGCACAUGUGAGGAAUGUGCACAAAGUCUCAGAAGGAGCUAGGCUGUGAGUUUCUUAUGAGAAUCUAAUACCUGGUGAUCUGUCACUGUCUCCCAUCACCCACAGAUGGGACCAACUAGUUGCAGGAAAGCCAGCUCACGGCUCCCACUGAUUCUACAUUAUGAUGUGAACUGAAAAUACCACAAGGGCCAAUUUCUGUGCAAAGUUGAAAAUGGAUCAAGCUACCCCUUCUCCUUCACUCUCCCCACACACCAUUUUGCCAUCUUUCAAAUGCAGCAGAGAGCACAUCCAUCAAUUCGAGAACUGCUGGGCAUCCCAGGAGCACGCUGCAGGUGGCCUCUGACCCUUUUAGAGCAACCGGAUUCCAUUUAGCAAAUGACCUCCUUCUGGAAAUAAAGAAAAAAUAAUAUCCCAGGCCCAGAAGGAUAAAUUAUGUAUUUUACUCAAGAAAAUGCUAAGAACGUUUACUUCAUGCUGUACGUAAGAGAACGUGAUGUAUGGUAUUAUAUUUAUAUAGCCCUCCUUUUUGUUCUGACAGCAUAGUGAUUUUUAUAAUUUGGUAUUCUAUUCUCAUCCAAGAGAAGGAGAGCUCCAGAAAGAAACUCUGCUUUUGCUAGAGCUGCGAAAUUCAGAAGAGGAACUUCAUUAAUGUAACUGUUGGGUUUUACACUUCCUACAUUUUCUACAGAGCUGACCAUUAGAAGAAAAUACUGUCUGCAAGAAAAAGGAACAUCCUCUGGGAAAGAGCAUCAUCUAUAUUUAAGCAAAGUUGUUGAAAACAGCUCUUAGGCAUGUAGGGUCAAAUUCAUUUUGACAAGCAGUUCAUCAGUGCUAAGUGUAGAAUCAGCAUAGAAGGAGGCUUGGUUAACUUUUAAAGGUAGCUUUAUUCUAUUACAAAGUUUGGACUCCAAAGUUAACCAUGUUGGAAACCUGCAGUAUCC
rnacentral:lncRNA from 1 species